AUCCAUAGAAACAAGUUGUGUACUAUGGAGGUUAACUGAAGAAUUGUUCACACAAAAGAAUUGGACUCAAAGAAGCAGAGGAGAGAUGUGAGAAACUUGAGAGAAAAGUGAGAAGGAAUUGACCCAUUGUGGUACAAUCAGGACCUUUGGUGGUGCGAUUGGAUCAUGCAGAGAUAAAUGGAUCUGCUCCAGAAGAGAAAGAGAACAUAGAGAAGAGAGGAGGAGACGUGCGUGAGACGGGGCCUUGUAGUUAUUUCGUUGCAUGUUCCCAAUGUAGUUUUUUUCCUUUUUUUCUUAAUUUUUUGUUAAACUGAUUUGAUUUUAUGCCUGCUUUACGUAUUGCGUUUCUUCUUAAAUUGACUCAAAUUCUGAUAUUACCUACACCAGGGAACAAUGAUGAAUUCUAUGGAGGAUGCUCAUGGUACACAAGAUCCUUACUUCAUAAUCACCUAUCUGAAUGGUGCACAACAUCAAUGCUUUGUUAAUGCUAAGUCCCUUGAUUGCUUUUGUGUGUAGGAAGGAAAGGCUAUGUUGUCUUAACAAGGAUGGAAAGUAUAACAACAUACACAAACCAACGUGGACAACCCAAAUCUGGUAAAUUGUUUAUGUCAUUUAAGUUGUCUCUAGCAUUUGUUAUAAUGCAUAAAAUCCUGGUAUCGGUUAAAUUGCUAAACCUUCAAGACUGCUCAUUGGAGUGAGGAUGCGGUCGGACAUUCACCCUACCAUCCAUUGACUCAUUGUUGCUGAUAUCAUAGUGCAUACAACCUUUUUCACACGUGUUAUCUUAUUUUACCAUUGAUAAUGCACUGCUUAUGUAUAUUGAUUUAUUGUAUGCUUUAUAGGACUGAUGGAACCUGGAAGAUACACCUGAAACUGAAGAAAAAGUUCUCAAAAGUGCGGAAGAGCGGUAUAGAGGCUGGCGACCAACUCUAAGCUCCACUUACAAGGCAUACAAAACAUAUGCAGCUAGGUUGGCUUAUCUGCUGGAAGAUUUACAACAAGAAGAGUGGGAAUGGACGAUUGUGUACUUUGGCACUGAUUCAAAAUUUCAGGAACGCAGCCAAAAGAACAUUGAUAGUCGUAAGAAACAGAAGACAAGACACAUAUUUCGAUCAAAAUCUUACUCGCAACUAAAUUUCGAGAAGAGAAACAUGGAAACUGGAGAAGAGCCAGAUUGUAUUGCUAUGUGGGAACUCACCCACACGAAGAAUGGAACAUGGUCUGACACUGAGUCCCAGGAUGUUUACGAUCCAAAGAACUAGCUCGACUGGACUCUAGAUCACGGACAAUUUAGUCUUGGCACUUAAUUAGGAUGCCUAAAUUACAUUUGAUGGAUAUUUGCUAUGAGAAUUAUGAAUUUUAUGAAUCUACAUAUUGUACGUAUGGUUUUGAAUAUUGUAAUUGAAUGCCUAUAUUUUUUUUAGGUUGCAAUAGGCUAUUGCCACAACCCACUUUUCGUUGCCACAUGUUAGCACCACGAAAAUUUAAAUUGUCGCAAUAAUUUCUCGCUACAAACAUUUCACUCGUUGUGAUACCUAUUUAUCACCGCCAAAACUAGUAUGUUGCAAUUUCCUAUUACGACGACUGGAAUAUUUGUUGCCAUAACUCAAUUCCACAAGUGUAGCGGUUCGUGGCAAAAUGCCUAAUGCCACAAAACAAGGAUUGUUGCCAUAGUUUAUUGCCACAAUUGAUUAUUGCCACAAAACAGUAUGCACCAUGAAACGAGCGUGUUGGCAUAGGUUGUUGCAACAAAUGUCUAUCGCCAUGAGUUAUCAGUCGCCAUGAUUCAUUACAUGUUGCA